rnacentral:rRNA from 1 species
CACGUAGGGCGCAAGCGUUGUCCGGAAUUAUUGGGCGUAAAGAGCUCGUAGGCGGUCUGUUGCGUCCGCUGUGAAAACCCGGGGCUUAACCCCUGGCUUGCAGUGGAUACGGACAGACUAGAGGUAGGUAGGGGAGAAUGGAAUUCCCAGUGUAGAGGUGAAAUUCGUAGAUAUUGGGAAGAACACCGGUGGCGAAGGCGGCCAUCUGGACCGGCACUGACGCUGAGGCGCGAAAGCGUGGGGAGCAAACAGG